GACGAACGCUGGCGGCGUGCUUAACACAUGCAAGUCGAACGGAAAGGCCCUGCUUUUGUGGGGUGCUCGAGUGGCGAACGGGUGAGUAACACGUGAGUAACCUGCCCUUGACUUUGGGAUAACUUCAGGAAACUGGGGCUAAUACCGGAUAGGAGCUCCUGCUGCAUGGUGGGGGUUGGAAAGUUUCGGCGGUUGGGGAUGGACUCGCGGCUUAUCAGCUUGUUGGUGGGGUAGUGGCUUACCAAGGCUUUGACGGGUAGCCGGCCUGAGAGGGUGACCGGCCACACUGGGACUGAGAUACGGCCCAGACUCCAACGGGAGGCAGCAGUGGGGAAUAGUGCACAAUGGGCGGAAGCCUGAUGCAGCAACGCCGCGUGCGGGAUGACGGCCUUCGGGUUGUAAACCGCUUUCGCCUGUGACGAAGCGUGAGUGACGGUAAUGGGUAAAGAAGCACCGGCUAACUACGUG
rnacentral:rRNA from 1 species